AAUCUAAAUAUAACAUAUAAGAAAAAAUCUAAAUUUUAUUAUAUGGUUAAUUUGAUUGUUUAAUUUUUUAAUAAUAUAAAUUAAAAAAAUACAAAAAUUGUUAUCAAAUAUAUAUUAUUUACAAUCAUUAAUUGUUAUAUAUAUGUUAACUAUAUUAGGUAAUUUGUAGUUUUUAAAGAAAUAAUUGAAAAUAUUCUUUCUGUAUACGACUAAUCAGUUUAAUAAUCAGUUUAAUAGAAAAUAUAAUAUAUAUUUAAAAUUAUUAUAGUGAUGAUAUAUGAUUAGAAAACACGUUAGGAUAUCAGUUUAUAUCCAUUGUCCAUUCUCCACUUUUCUCCGUAAAACUCAGAUGUAAAUCUAUUGCAAUGCGUAAAAAGUACAAUUAUUAAAUUAUUGGAAAGCGCUCGGUAGAAACCAUCCUGAUCUUGGAAAACGGGACCCACGUGCCAGAAAUCAGACAAAGACAAAGACAUCUACGUGGAGGAUAGCCAUAUACGUGUUCUUUUGUCCUAAACGUCUUAUCCCAGCUGCUUACAUGGAGCCUCCUUGUCCAGCCACCAAAAAAAAGUGAAUUGAGAAAAUUGGCUGAAAGUUAGAACUUAUAUUAGGAAACAUGCCGGUUUUAGAAAAGUUAUUAGGAACAUAUAAUUAUCCAUUUCAAUUUGAUCCUGUUUUCUAAUUUUUAUUUGACAAAAUUCACUAAAAUUAAUGUAUACAAAAUUUAGCGUGAAUGUACAUUUACAAAUAUAAUUUUUUUUAGUUUCCAAGUUUUCUUGUUUGAAAAAGAAUUUCCAAGUUGUUUUUUUGGUAAUCAAAGUUAUUCCAAUCUUGUAUCAUGUAGUGUAUAUCAGUAUAUGCUUUACUAUAUUUACAGAAAGAAAACAAUAUUUUGAUCUAACUAAUGCAUCUGCAUGUCCGGAACCUUUUUUCGCAUAUACUACAAUGAUUUAACUGACUAAAGAUACUUUUGGAUAUGUCGAAUAUGCUUAAUCGGUUGUCAGAUAAUAAAACACGUUAAGCGUAUUAUUGUUACACAACAAAUGGUAUCUUCUUAAGUUUGGCAGGAAGGAUUAAUUGGCAAAUGUGGUAAUAGAGUUAAAUCAAAUUUUCUAUAUACAUUAAGAAGUCUAUAAAACUCUAGCUAGGCAGAGUUUGAUAUUUAAUUUUUAGUUCUAGACAGAUGUUUUCUCUGAUCAUUCACAUGAAAAUGUUGAACAGUCUGAACAGAUCAUAUCAUACGAGAGGUUAAACAAAGAAAAAGGAAAAAUGAUUUGGCUUAAGUAGAAUAUUCCGCAAUUUUUCAAGAAGGAUUUGGGGAGGCUCGGAAUAUUCUUGAAUAAGGGUCACGUACGUAGCAGCAUGUGGACCAGCUCAUCGAGGCAAGGCACAUUGGUAUGAGUAUAUAUGGUUAUGUGCUAAUCCCAGAUACACAAAAACAAGAGUAAACUCGUUUAGCAAUUAAUUCCCUUAUACAGAUGUUGGAAGCAUGUCGUCAUUCAUUCUCAAGUCGAUGGGCACCGGACUCUCAACUGGUUUUUUCGCCCAUUGGUGGGUUCUUUACUUUAUUGAAUUAUUUUGUUUUAUUGGAACCAUCCAGAGGUGUUCUUUGAUAUCUUAUUUUUUGGUAGACAGACUUGCAUAUAUGUGUUCGAGAUAUAUGGUUGUUACCAUGAUAAUACUAUUGUAUUCUUAUAUCCAGUGUACCAGGCUAACUUGUUGUCUCCUAAAACUGACUUAACUGAAAGCAUCUUCAAAAUAAAUUCUACAAUUUCAAAUAUAUAAUUUUUUGUUCUCCAAAAAAAAAGUUCAAAACUUAAAAUUCGAAGUUUAAAGAGUGAAAUAUUCAGUACUUAAAACUUAAAAUUUGAAGUUUCAUCUUUUUAUUUGCAUUUUAGUCUUUACAAUUAAUUAUACAACAUUUUAUAAUUCUUAAAUAUUUUUUCGUGUACCGUUUUAAUCCUUAAAAUUUUUAUAUCUCAGAAAUAUUUCAUUUUUUUUGUUUUUAAUUCAAGUUUUACACAUAUAUUUAAAUAAAAUUUAUAAUAUUAUAAAACUAAAAUUAGACAACAAGAAUAUUACAAAAAAAAUCUUAAUAUUUUUUUUUAAAAGGUACAUGUAGACAUAUCUGCUACACAAAUUUAAAUAUUACAACAACACUAAUAGUCUAACAAGUUUGCUACUGAACCUUUAAAAUCUUCAAAAUAUUAUCCAAACAAUUUUUUCGUAACUGAAGAUGAAAUAUUACGGAAAUAAUUUUAUGGAAUAAUGUGAUAUUUUUCAUAAUAUUUAAUUACGUAUUUUUAUUUAUAAUUUUAUAUUUUAGUGUACAAUUUUAUUAAUUAAUAUUUAUGUAAUAUAUUUUGUAUAUGUGUUAGUUAGUUAUAAAAUUUUAUGGAUUUAUAUUAAUCAUCAUAAAUAUAAAGACCAUAAAGUAAAACACAAAUAAUUUUGAGUUAAUUUUGAAAUUUGACAUUUGGAGAAGAACAUUUUAAAAUUUUAAAUAUAGAGUUUUGCAAAUUUUAAAAUAUAGACUAUUUUUUAGAGAUGCUCUAAGCGGCGGUCUUUAUAAUACUAUACAACAUGGAUACAAAUAUUUAAUAUCAUAAUAUUUUACUCGUUUUGCGUAUACACGUCAAUAUGACUACAACCGACGCAGACACAUGUUUCUGGUGUAUAAAAUGAGAGUUAAAAAAAUGUAUGUUAAUAUUGAAUAAAUGCUGGUAAAAGCUGUCGCAUGUUUUAUCUCUAUAUAGUUUUGUGCUAUCGUGUGUGAUUACAAUCAAGCAUAUGUUUUUGAUAUUUGUACAUCAAUUACGUAAAGUUAAGUUAGUUCCUCCACGAAAUUUACACAUUCGCAUUACCAGUGUACCAAUCUUUAUCAUUGUCUAGAUUCAAAUAUCUAAUUACUAAUUAGGAAAUGUAUACAUUUCAUUAGCAUUAGAACUUAGAAGUACAUCAGAGAUUGAACAUGUGCAACAUAUACUACUAUAUAUCAAUAUUUUGUCACCAUCAUCAGUUAUAUUAACCAUUAACUAGAUUUUGACCCGCGCUUAAAAAACGCGGGGUUUAGUUUUUGAAUUUAAUAUUUUUUAAUAAAAUUUUUUAUAUAAGAUAGUUUAUAAGUUUGACCAUAUUACUCGGAACCAAAUAAUCAACCCGUACCAAAUUGAAAAAAUAAAACCAAACUUGAACCAAAAUUUAUAAAUAACCGAACAUAUCAUAUAUCUCUAGAACCAAGAUAAAUAGAUACCUGAAUUUUAAAAUACCAAUAAUAUACCUACAAAUAUUAAUUAUAUGUAAUUUCUAAAUAACCAAAUAUCUUAAAUAUACUAUUUAUAAGAUGAAUUAUCCAAUAAAAACAAAUUACUCAAACAUUUUUUUUCAAAUAUUAAAAAAAUAUCUUAAUAAGUCCUCAACAUUCAGUCUAAUUUUCCACUAAAAGGAACCAAAACACCAAUAAGUGGUAUCCACAGUCAAACCAGUAAACGCAGUCACCAUAUAUAAUUUAGUUUCAAUUUAAUAAAAAUCCAUUAUUUAAAAUUCUUUAAAAUCUAAAACUCAUAUUAACUCGUGAAUCUAUACCAGAUAACAUGGUAAAAAUCUAAAAUAACAUGAUAAUAUUUUUCAAAAUUUGAUUAAAUUUCUCAUUUAAAUUUUACUAAGAUAUAAAAUUGAAUAAACUACUUUUUUAUGUUAUACAUUCUAGUUUAUAAGUUUUAUAAUGACUAUAUUAAGAUUAAAUUUUUGAGUUUUAGAAAUAAAAUUAUUAUUAAGUUGAGUAUAGUUGAGUUACCUAUAAAUGUUAAAAAUAAAUAAUAUAUUUUAUUUAAACAUAAGAACAUUCUAAAAAUGCUAUAAUUUCCUGAGAAAAUAUUUAUACAAAACCCUUUCUCUUAAUAAAUCCAGUUGUAAAAGAUUUUCAUCACAAAAAUAACCUAGGAAGGUUUUCAAAGAAAAAACUAUCAUUUUGAAAUAUAAUUAAGCUUGCUGUUGUACUGUGAAGUAUUUCUCUAAUCGUAAUUGGAAGUUAAUAUGUUUUGACCGUCGAAUGGUAUCAUGUUUUUAAAUUUCUGUUAACCGUAUUUGCAUCAUGUUUUUAUGUUAGUUUGGGUCAUAAAACAUUUAAUAUGAAUUAAAAGUAUGUUAUUGUUUAGACUUUAAUUACCAAUAAAUCUAAAUGUUUUUAUAGUAACUCCUGGGUUGUGUGAUUAUUAAAUCAGUUAUAAAAUAAUCUGUUUUUUUUAAUAGGUUUAGUGGCACAAAAGUAAUAUUCCAAAGAAAAAUAGGAGUAAAAUAUAUCAAUGAUUCUGAAUUAAUAAUAUUGAUGUAUAAAUCUUUGGUGUAUUAUAGUCAGUUGAGUAUUAAAUAAUAACAUUGGUUAUUUUAUAGUUAGAAAAAUAUAAGGUAAUUGAUUAGUGUAUAGUUAGAGAAAUAUAUGGUGAGAUCAAAAAAUAAUUAAGUCUAGUGAAUAGAUCCAACAACCUUUCAUAAGUAGAUUUUUUUGGACUGUUUCUCUUUUAAUAUUAUAGAUAUUCUAUUUGUACGAGAGAUAGAGAGUCCUGACUAGGAGUGGAUCCCAAGAGACCAAGGAGAGAAAGGUAAAUGGAACUAUCGUUUCAUCAUAUUUUUAACUUGUGUGGUUGAAUUUGAAUUAUAUACAAACGUUGAUUUGUGUUCAAAAAAAAAAUACAAACGUUGAUUUAUCAUAGCUUUUGAAAAGGAUGGUUUCCGAUCUAUAUGCCUUAAUAAUUACGAAUACGUUAAGAGCACUUGUAAAAUGGCCAUUAAAUUUCUCGUAUUGAUCAGUUGUGUAUUUGACAAGCAAAUUGAAACAGGUAAUUAAUUGCUAAAAAUCAUACACACUAUUAGGUCUAAUACUACAAAAGGCUGAAGGUUAGGUUUUUGUUUUGAAACACAACUAAAGGUUAGGUAUCAUACACUUAUACCAUCAUAAAUUAAAGUGCUAUAAUUAUGUUAAUUGUUGUGUGCAGUGGCUCCGCCACGUGGAGUAACAUGGAGUCAUCUGUCCCUAACUCAUUUUAAAAAUUCUUUGUAAAAUACUGACUAUUUUUCAGUAUGCCCCCAUGUUUUUAAGAAAACUAUCCUUAGUUCUAUGAAUAUAUUUAGUUUUGCCCCUUACAAAUUUUUUUUCUACAUCCGCCCCUGGUUUUGUGCAUGCCCCUGAUUUCUCCAUAUUUCUAGUUUAAGAUUUUUCUCUAACACAAAUACGUCUUUAUGAAUAAAAUCAUAUGUGAUGGAUAUAUAAAUACCAACAAGAUAACCUUUCCUUUUCUUUUUACAAUAACGCUAAUCUUUCUUUUUCUUUUUACAAUAACGCUAACCUAAUAAACCUAAACAGAGAGAGAAGAGUUCCAUGAUAAAAGUCGAGGUCUAAAUUUAUUAAAAUACUAUAUUACUAGUAUUACCACCUGUGCUACGCACAGGUCAAUUUUCUGUUUUGUAAAAAAAUUCAAAAUAAAGAAAAUAUAUAUAAAAUAUACUUGAAAUAAAAUAUUUGAUGAUUUCAAAUAGAAUAAAAAUACUUAAUUUAAUUUAAUGUAAAUUUAGAUAUGAUGAACCUAAUAAAUUUACUAACUAAUUUUUAUUGUUUUCUGAAAGGUCUUAGUUUUUAUAGUUUUUUGAUAGGUCCAAAUCUUUAUAGUUUAAAAUUGACAUUUUAUGUGAAUUUACCUAAUUUGAUCAGAAAAUGCUAAUUUACCUAACAUCUUUUUGAAAAAACACACAUCUAAACAAAAUUAACCCACAUUACUUUAUUUUCAUAGGUUGAUGAAUUUAUAAAAUUAUAAUUUUAAACUUUAGUUUACCUUUUAUAAAUUAAAAGAAUUCUCUAGCCACAAUUAAAUAAAGUAAACUCACUUUUGGAUUCGUAACUGCAAGCUUCACGAUACUUUCAGCAAUAGCUUUACAUUCAAACUCAAUUGCAGUAGUGAAUACUGAAAAAUAAUUGAUUCAAGAAAUAAAACAUCAAAAAUGUUACAAAAAAGUCAACACAUCAAAGAGAAAAAUAGUAAAGAAUGAAAAACAUGCAAAACAUGCAAAAUCUUUUGUCAGGCCAAAACCUUAUGAUCUUUGAUUCAACCGGAAGAUCACUGGCCGUGAGUGUAGUUAUAAUUUCCUUCACAAGAAUAAAAUUUGCUUAUGCUUCGCUUCAUUCUAUCUCUCCAAACCGUGACUUCCAGAGGCUGUGAAUCAAUAGAUAGAAGAAACUAAGUUAGAUAUGCCAUAGUGAUCUAAAAUUGAUUCUCUUCAAAAUUACUGUACCAGUUAUCAAUUGCUUACCGCAAUUCCACGGUAUCAAUCUAAAGAUUGUCACUAAUAGACUUUUAAGUAUUAGUCUAGAUGAAGAAUAAAAAAAUUAAAUUGGUACAGAAAAAAAAGAAGGCACGAAGAAACCUGACGUGAAAAUUGAAAUUUUAAGAGGACUGAAAAGAUUUUUUGUUUUGCUGGAGAAGAUAGAAAAAAAAAGAAAAAGAAACUGAGAGUAAAUUUAUAAAAGAGGAAAACAGUUUGAAAUCGUGUCAAGUGAGUUUGAACGUGGAUGGAUUAUUGUGAUACAUAUUUGCUAAAUUGUUUGAAAAUUGUUUUAUUAAUUUUUUUCAAAGUAUUUUCCAUUUGUCAAAAUUUGAUUUGUUAAGUGACUUGUGCUUUAGUAUAUAAAUGAUACGUAAAUAUAUGAAAAUGUGACAAACUAGUUACUAACCGUAGUUUUGUUUUAAAAACCUCGCCGUUUAUAUAUUUUGCUACUAUUAAACUCUAGUUUUAUAAUUUUUGUAUACAAAGAGAAAGCUGAGUUCAGUAAUCCAACAUGCAAUCGAUAAGAAGAAACAUAAAACAUGUAAAAUCCAGUAGCAACCCUUAUAAAACGCGAAGGGAAAUUUUCGACGAGCAAUAACAUUAUCAUUUAGUAAUAUAAGUAGUCUCAGACUUAUAGGCUCCUUCUGUUCUUCCGCAUACUUAUUUUUUUUAGAAGUUCUUCGGCAGACUAUUUAUUCAUUGUUGUCCGCUAAUUCUAAAUAUCAUAAGUUCACAAAAAAUAGCCAACACAAUAUCAACAUAUGAUACACACUCAAUCGACUCAAGUCUUGUUUUCUGCUCUUAGCUUUAACAGAGUAAAGACUGAGAGAGAUUUAAACUAUUAAUUUACGUUUUAGAACUCAUAUUCGUGGAAUUAAAAGAUGAAUUAAGGAAGAGUGGGAUAAGAAGGAAUCAAAGUUGGAAUAUCUUUUUCAUAAAUUCGUUUGUCUCCCAUCAUUAGGACUGAUGGGAGAUUCCCAUCUAAAAUUAAAAUUCUUAAACACUAAUCCAAAAAAUCUGUAGAUAUUUUAUUUGUCUUUGUAAAGAAACGAUAAUUAAAUCACAAUCCACCAUCAAUCUGAUAUCCAACCAAAAACAAUUAAAGUGUUGAAUCUGUUGAUAAAGUUCCAUUUCUUAAGCUUUUCCAAAAAUUACCUAUAAAGUGUCAUUUAUAUUAAUAAAUUAAGUCAAUUUGCAAUGAUCAUACAAAUUCAAUACAUUUUGGAUGUGAUAAUAUAAUAACCUCACCAUCAAAAAUAAAUAUUUUAGUAACUGGAAUUUUGUGUAAAAGGUAAGAAUCAAAACUUAAAUAAAUAGAACUUUCUUUGUGUCUAUAUAAUAAGAAAACAACAAAUUCUCCAUCACAGCUGCACAGGUGGUACAAAAAUUAAAUCUAGUACAUGAAUGGCUCUUUAAUAAAGAAAAGGGAGAAGGCGAAAAGGGGCCAAUUAAGACGAAGACUAAUGUAAGAUUAUUUAAUUGCAAUAGUAUCAUCAAUUAUGUCACAAUUACUGCUUCUUGAUGCCAAAACUAUGUGCUAUAUGGAAAGCUGUUUAGCAUAUUUAACGAAUAUGAAAAGAUCAAGACUAAGGUAGAUGAAAUACAGUGACAAACAAAAACUUGUAAUGCAAUAUGUCAAUAUGUCAAUCUGUAGGAAAUUAUUCAGAAAACAAAAAAAAAUUAUGAACUUAAGUUACUUAACUUGUAUCCUUCCUAGUUACGGCUACGAUAAUAGAUGAGGUAGCUGUAAAUUAAACAGUAUAUCUUUAUGUCACCUGCUUCGUAUUUUCCAUGUACGACCACGGCUUCUUGGUAAAACAAUGAGCACUUACUAUUAGAGCAUCUCCAAAAAAGAACUCUAUUUUGAAGUUUCCAAAACUCUAUAUUUAAAGUUUCAAUAUGUUUUUCUCAAAAAGCAAAACUUCAAACUCAGUUUCAAAACUAUUUAUAUUUUAUAAUAUGGUCCUUGUAUUUGUCAUAACUAAUUUGAAUUCAUAAAACUUUUGUAAAUAACUACAUAUAUAAACAUAUUACAACAAUAUUAAUUAAUAAAAUGUUCUAAUAAAUAUAAAAAUUUAAAUAAAAAUAACUUAAUUAAUAUUAAACUUCAAACAAAAUACCAUAUUAUUUCAUAAAAUGAUUUUCGUAAUGCGUAUAUGAUCUACUAGUCAUUAGUGUAUUUCGAAGUAAAAAUGACUCUCCACAUUUUUACUUUGUAGAUUACGAGCUAAAAGUUGUUGAAAUCGGGUAAUAUUGAUACUUGUUAAUACAUUAUAUUGGAACAAGAAAGUAAAAGAGAAACAUAAAAUAUUGCUAAAAGACUAAUUUUUUUCAAUGAUAUUAA